rnacentral:rRNA from 1 species
UACGAAGGGUGCAAACGUUGCUCGGAAUUAUUGGGCGUAAAGCGCACGUAGGCGGCUUAGCAAGUCGGAAGUGAAAUCCCUCGGCUCAACCAAGGAAGUGCUUUCGAAACUGCUGAGCUUGAGUACGAAAGAGGAUCGCGGAAUUCCCGGUGUAGAGGUGAAAUUCGUAGAUAUCGGGAGGAACACCAGUGGCGAAGGCGGCGAUCUGGGUCGAUACUGACGCUGAGACGCGAAAGCGUGGGGAGCAAACAGG